rnacentral:lncRNA from 1 species
AAAUUUGAAAUUUCUCUUUUUUCGUAAAUUUAUGAAAAUAAUAAAGUUGAUGUAAGCUUUGAAUUUGAAUCCGCAAAUUUAUUAAUAAAUAAAUUUAAAAUAACAUCUAGCCUUGAUACUUUUAUCAUAGGUAUACUCUUAGCACACUAGCGCAGAAUUAAGAUUAUCUGAGAAACUCUGCACUGGCAAAUGGAAGUGUCAUCAUACCUUUCACAUUUGUAACUUGAUGGUCAACAGUCUUGAACAUUUUGUACUUUGUAUUUUGCAAGAGGACACAAAUUUUUUUUUUAAAAAAUACCUCAAAGGCUCGAUAAACUUUUAAAUAUAUUUAUUGAUAAAUUUGUGAAUCCAAUUCAAAGCUUACAACAACAAGAUUUAUUAUUUUCUUAAAUUUACCACAAAAAAGAAAUAUUUCAAAUUUGAGAAGCCCAUAUCUUUUCUGUUAACUCUUCAGUGCUGAAAAAUUUCAUUUUUAAUGGGAACCUCCCCCGUCUUUAUUACUUCCUAUCUCAUGCUUAUAUAUUUGAAAUACAAUAUUUAAACUCAUUUUCUACCUUCUAUUCUAGCAUAAUAUUUCACACUUUACUCUUACGUUUCUGAAGAAUGUUGAAAUUGUUGGCGUUUAUCCAGACUUUCAUACCAUAAUUGGGUUUUCCUUUAGGUACCAUAAUUAGGUUUUCCUUUUCGAAAAAGGAAAAUAUAUUCUCUAUAUUUUCUAAUUCUUAUUCUUGUAGGAAAACAUUAUAGACUGUAUAAAUUGAGGCUCCUUUCUUCUUAUUUUGUAGAAUCCACAAUGUAGCCCUAGCAUUGUGACAAUUAUUGUGUCUCUUUUUGGUGUAUUUCUCAUAUGUCCUUUUAUUGGCGUCUUUCGAAGUUUGCUUGAUUAACUUCUGCACGACACCUCAUUAUUCCGAUCCUAACAGGAAUGAGACUAAUUAGAUUUCUUAUAAAAAUUCAAGAGAGAAAUAAAUUUUGAAGAGAAUGUAAGUAGAAGAGAUGUGAAAAAUAAAGGAUUAUUAUAUGGG